rnacentral:rRNA from 1 species
AGAAUCAACGCUGGCGGCGUGCCUAACACAUGCAAGUCGAACGAGAAAGGGACUUCGGUCCUGAGUACAGUGGCGCACGGGUGAGUAACACGUGACUAACCUACCCUGGAGUGGGGAAUAACUGAGGGAAACCUUAGCUAAUACCGCAUAAUACCCACGGGUCAAAGCAGCAAUGCGCUUGGAGAGGAGUUCGCGGCCGAUUAGCUAGUUGGCGGGGUAAUGGCCCACCAAGGCGAUGAUCGGUA